GCCAAAGUAAAGCAGUUCAAAGUAGCCAGCGAUCUUAGUAGAUUGAUUAGAAAAAAAAUAAAAAAUAUAUUGGCAAUAUGAAUUUUAUGUUCAUAUUUGUGUUGUUAAUGUCAGUAUUUGCACUCCAAGGAGAUGCACGUUGUGCAAAAAAUGGCAGUCCUUGUAAAUGGAAUGGAUUUGGAAAUUGUUGCAGUGGAUUCUGUUACCAACAAGUUGGGUGGAAAGUAGGAUACUGCAAAAAGCGCUAAUAGUGAUACAAAUCCUUGUUAUUUAUAUUAUUUUUAUUAUUCUAAAAUAUGUUAUUAAUAUAAACGUAAAUAAAUGUAACUUUUAUUUUUAA